GCUGUGACCGUGAAUAUUCUUCUAGAUUGCCUUUGCCGUGGUUCCAAGGCUUCGGAGGCUAAGUUCCUGCUGGAGAGGAGCGCAGAACUGGGGUGGGAUGCUGAUGUCGUUAACUACAACACCAUGAUGAGCAGGCUUCGUGAUGCCGGGGAAUGCUCGGCUGUUCUAAAGCUCUUCACGGACAUGAUAAAGAAGGGAAUUGCUGCAGAUAGCCGGACAUUUAGCAUUGUGAUACACAGCCUUUGUAAAGCUGGAAGGCUUGACUGGGCAAAGCGCACCUUCGAUAGCACAGGGUUUGUUGCUAAUAUUGUGACAUAUACCACUCUAAUUCAUUACUUCUAUGUGGCGGGAAAGGUGGAUGAGGCACGUGCCCUCUUUUAUGAGAUGGUCGAGGAGAAUGUUGUUCCUAAUCAGAUCACCUAUGGUGUCAUGAUUAAAUGCCUUUGUAGAGAAGGAAAAUUUUUGGAGGCUAUCGGCUGUUUUUACAGAUCCCUUGAAGAUGGAUUCUCGGCAAAUCUGGUUGCAUCUUUAACUUAUUGGUUGGUCAGGGGUGGAAGACUCACGGAAAUGCUAAACCUGUUGGAAUGGAUCUUGAUACAGGGUUAUAUCAUAGAUUUUUGUGUAGCCCGUGGGUUGAUCAACGCAUUUUGCAGGGAGGGUUAUUGUCAAAGUCGAGAUAUGUAUAUACUCUGCCAUGUUUUGGACAAGAUACUUGGAACAAGAUAGAUCAGCUUUAGGCAUUGCAUUCUUUAGAUCUACUUCGUGGGACAUAAUUGCUUAUGAAAGUUCAGUUCACAAAUCUGAAGUUUGCCUGAAGUCUGGAUUAGUCAUUCAAUUUUGUUGGCAAACUUUUGAUAUGAUGAACCAAAGGGCAGCUGAAGAGACAGCUUAAGUCUCACUCAACGUGGUCAUGUUGCGAAAUGCAUGGAUGGCAUGGAGGCAUUUGUCAUACAUUAUUUUGUUCAGAACCUGUCGUGCCAUACUGGUCUUAUGACUAUAAAGAUGGUAUUUUCCGCUACUUAGGCCUCAGGGACUCUCCAGAUUCACAGGCUAGAAAUUCAAUGGGUGACACGGUGGUGGUUCAACCAGAAAAAGCGACUGCCUGAAGCCAGCAGUUGUUCUGAACUAAGGAAGAUGUAUACCGUUGGAAAGAGAAACCGCGGACAGAGGGCACACAUCUUGAGCAAGUUAUUGCAUUACCGGUUGACUGGGCAAGGAGCAUGGCUUUUUAUAGCAAAAUUUCUGGUAGCAUGCUCCCUUGGCUCAAGCUUUUUGCAGGCUUAUAUUAUGAAUUAGAUGCAGCAAGGAUUCCCGAUUAGUGGGAAUAUGUUCCUGCUCGGUGCUAAAAAUAAAUUUUAACAUUUUCUUUCUUUAUUGUGAGCUGGCCGGUCAUAAGAAUUGUGAUGUCUUAUUUACUUCUCAUGUUUGUUUUUCUUAUUACCUUCUUAGCCGAAUAAAAAUUUAUCCAUUUCCUUUUUUUUAAAGUUGUGCCUGAGAAAUUUAUUUAAUUGUAUUUCUGCAGAUUUUUUUCUAUAGUAAAUGCAAUCUACCUAAAGAAUCUGCCAGACAAUGUGACUCAAGAUUGUCAGGACAAAAUAGUUGAACAUAAAAUGAGAUAAAUUAUGUUGCCUCAUGCUAAGUCUGGACAUGAAAAAGAGUAUAGCUGUUGUCCUACAUGAUUACGCUAAGUGGGUUGACUUCUGAUUGUUUUCUUGCAACAACUCCAUCUGAUGAGAAAUGGGCUCGAGGUCGACUGUUCAU